rnacentral:rRNA from 1 species
GACGAACGCUGGCGGCGUGCUUAACACAUGCAAGUCGAACGGAAAGGCCCUGCUUGCAGGGUACUCGAGUGGUGAACGGGUGAGUAACACGUGGGUGAUCUGCCCUGCACUUCGGGAUAAGCCUGGGAAACUGGGUCUAAUACCGGAUAGGAGCCAUUUUUAGUGUGAUGGUUGGAAAGUUUUUUCGGUGUAGGAUGAGCUCGCGGCCUAUCCGCUUGUUGGUGGGGUAAUGGCCUACAAAGGCGGCGACGGGUAGCCGGCCUGAGAGGGUGGACGGCCACAUUGGGACUGAGAUACGGCCCAGACUCCUACGGGAGGCAGCAGUGGGGAAGAUUGCACAAUGGGCGCAAGCCUGAUGCAGCUACGCCGCGUGGGGGAUGACGGCCUUCGGGUUGUAAUCUCCUUUCGCUAGGGACGAAGCUUUUUGUGACGGUACCUAGAUAAGAAGCACCGGCUAACUACGUG